GGCACGGUGCCAGAGCUGCUCAAUGGGGCAGUCUGCAAAACCGUUGGGGCAACCCGUCGUCGGUUCGAAUCCGACCCGCGCGUCAA
rnacentral:tRNA from 1 species